AGAAAACAAAACAAAAAACACUCAACAGCAAAAGAAAGUGGACCUGGAGACUCUGAAUGUUGUUCCAGUUCUGGAAGACGGAAAGCAAAUGUUAAGCAAGCAGCUUCUCCAGGAGUUCAGAAGGGCCGGGACGUCCAGAGGAAGCAUGGCUACGUUGAAGGGAUCAUAGCUGUGGAGAACAAGACACAUAAGCAUCCAAGGCCACCAUGUUCUAGAUGCUAGCAGGAUGCCGACCAGACUUGCCUGGACAGACAACCCCACCAAUGUGUCCUGGAGCUCCGCUUCCCCAGAGCCCCA